rnacentral:tRNA from 1 species
CGGGGUGUAGCGCAGUUGGUAGCGCGCAUCGUUCGGGACGAUGAGGCCGCCGGUUCGAGUCCGGCUACCCCGACCA